GUGGUUGUGGCUGAGUGGUAAGAGCUCUCGCCUGGCAUGUGUGAGGAACUGGGUUUGAUUCUCAACACCACA
rfam:Ictidomys tridecemlineatus contig008767, whole genome shotgun sequence.